GUGCUUUUGCUUCAGCAGCACGUGCACUAAAUUUGGAAUGAUACAGAGAAGAUUAGCAUGGUCCCUGAACAAGAAUUAUAUGCAAAUUCUUGAAGUACUCCGUAUUUUU
ensembl:snRNA U6 U6 spliceosomal RNA